rnacentral:rRNA from 1 species
UACAGAGACUGCGAGCGUUAUUCGGAUUCACUGGGCGUAAAGGGUGCGCAGGCGGCCAAGUGUGUGAGGUGUGAAAGCCCGGGGCUUAACCCCGGAAUUGCACCUCAAACUACAUGGCCAGAGCAUUGGAGAGGGUAGCAGAAUUCACGGUGUAGCAGUGAAAUGCGUAGAUAUCGAGAGGAACACCUGCGGCGAAGGCGGGUUGCUGGGCUGACACUGACGCUGAGGCGCGAAAGCCAGGGGAGCGAACGGG